rnacentral:rRNA from 1 species
UGGGGAAUCUUGCGCAAUGGGAGCAAUCCUGACGCAGCAACGCCGCGUGGGUGAUGAAGGUCUUCGGAUCGUAAAGCCCUGUCGGAGGGGAAGAUGCUUGGAACGUCUAAUAGAUGAGCCAGGUGACGGUACCCUCAAAGGAAGCACCGGCUAACUCUGUGCCAGCAGCCGCGGUAAUACAGAGGGUGCAAGCGUUGUUCGGAAUUAUUGGGCGUAAAGGGAGUGUAGGCGGUUUGGAAAGUCUUCUGUGAAAUCUACGGGCUUAGCCUGUAAAGUGCAGAGGAAACUACUAGGCUUGAGUGUCGGAGAGGAUAGGGGAAUACCCAGUGUAGAGGUGAAAUUCGUAGAGAUUGGGUGGAACACCAGUGGCGAAGGCGCCUAUCUGGCUGACAACUGACGCUGAGACUCGAAAGCAUGGGGAGCAAACA